AGACAACAGACACGCGAGGUCAGGAAGAAGCCGCUUAUAAAUUACCGCUUCCUUCGCGCCGCCGCCAACGCCGAGCCCCGAGGACCGCAAGCCCAGAGGACAAGCUGCGCCAAGAGGGAGUGCGGAGCGUUCACCCAGCGGGUCAGAGAGCGAGCGGGCAGGCAGCCCCCGGCCGGCGGAACCCGGCACAGCCGAGCAGAGCGCGGGCGGCGCCGCAGCCACCCCAGAUCCAGAACCAGAACCACAGCCCUUCUGAGGAGCUCCCAAACAAAGCAAGGAGAUGGCCACCAAGGAGAAGCUGCAGUGUCUGAAAGAUUUCCACAAGGACAUCCUGAAGCCCUCACCAGGGAAGAGCCCAGGCACGCGGCCUGAGGACGAGGCUGAGGGAAAACCUCCGCAGAGGGAGAAGUGGUCUAGCAAGAUCGACUUUGUGCUCUCUGUGGCUGGCGGCUUCGUGGGCUUGGGCAACGUCUGGCGCUUCCCGUACCUCUGCUACAAGAAUGGUGGAGGUGAGCUUGGGCCGGGCCACAGGGGAGCCCAUCCAGUACAAAGCGGCCUUAGAGCUGGAGGCUGGGACCAGAGCGUGGGUGGCCUCUCUUUCCCUGCUUUCCCUGGCCCCCCCUUGACCUCCAUGAGGUCAGCCUGCCAUGCUCCUGCCAACCCCACCCUUAGAGACAGGGGAUAAGCCCGACUGAGAAUCAGAGUGCUGUUCUGCAGGGCCUUUCUGUGUUACCUUGAGCAGGUCCCUCAGCCUCUCUGGUCUUCCAGUUUGCCACCUCCAAACAGGCAGGACAAGGCCAGGCUUGUGUCUCCCAAGCCCCAGACAUUCACACACCUCCUUAUCUGUCCCCCAUGUCUACUUGCCUCUGACUGUUUCUUUAUCUUUCCUUUAAUAUUCAUGUUUGCUUUUCUAACUUUACCAAAUGUACUCCAGAAAGCAAAUUCUGUUACCCGCUAUAGAUGGAAAACUGGUAUCAUUUGUCAUGCUCC
rnacentral:sRNA from 1 species